rnacentral:rRNA from 1 species
UACGAAGGGGGCUAGCGUUGCUCGGAAUCACUGGGCGUAAAGGGUGCGUAGGCGGGUCUUUAAGUCGAGGGGUGAAAUCCUGGAGCUCAACUCCAGAACUGCCUUUGAUACUGAACGAUCUUGAGUUCGGGAGAGGUGAGUGGAACUGCGAGUGUAGAGGUGAAAUUCGUAGAUAGUUCGCAAGAACACCAGUGGCGAAGGCG